GUGUCACCCGCCCCCGCCUGGCUGCCGUGCCCCCCCAGUGACCGCCCCCCCUGGGAGCCGGCCCCCGGACGUGCGGCGACCCCACGGUCCCCGCGCAGCCCCUCCGCGCGGAGGCGCGUCGGAGGACGGCGGGGCGCGGGCGGCCGCGGAGCCGGCGCCCGGCGAGGUGCGCGCUCGGGGACGUCGCCGGGGCCGUGUUCGCGGGAAUCGGGGCUUCGCUGCUCGGGGAACUAGCGAGCCGCCUCCCCGUCGCCGGCCGUCCUGAGCAGUGCGGACGUCUUGUGUUGUCUGAACUCGAGGCGGUUCAAAGCCGGAGAGGCAGGCUUUUUACAGUCGCUUAUAGUAGUGGUGGUGAACAGAUGCACGUCAGUUCCCUUCCCCACCUUCUUCCGUAGGAAUCGACCGCAUACGAAUGUUCACGUUCGCAUGGCUACCUGAUCACCAGUCUCAGGCGGUGAUGCCGCGGAGGAGCUUCUUCCUCGCGAGGUCCAGGUGGGGGGAAUGCCAGCGGUUUUGGCUGUCCGACUGCCAAGUGCUAGUUUGCAACUGCCCAGUAGUGUUUUCUCUUCAUACCCAAAUACAAUACAGCAGUGCUCAUGUGGUAAAGCUUUGAAGAAUUGUCAGUAUUUUUUAAUGACAUAUGCUGAACUUAAAAAUAAAGUGUCCCUUUCUUCCUUCUCCUGGCUCAACCGUGUCAAGUAAACCGUACACACAGAAAUCUCUCAUACCAAAGGCUCUGCCGUCUAACUGAAAGGCUGGCACCUGUUCUAGAGCGAUGUUGAAUGAUGGUCUCAUUGGACAAUUUUGGAGGUUCCACCAAGGUCAUUUUGAAGACCCUCAUUUGACGGCGUUCCAGGGGACCCUGAGGCCAACAGGAGGGUUUUGAGGACAUCUGCAGGCGUGGGUCUGUCUAGAACCCACAGAAUGUUGUAACCAAGUGUCUCCGGCCAACGGAACACCUUCUGAGUGCUCACUGCUUCCUGGUGUACAGAUGAGAUGGGAGUGUAUGUAAAUUGCUAGGAUCACCUUGGACAGCAACUUUGGCCACACUUGGUAAAUUUGAAGAUGUGCGUCUCCUACAAUAUAGCGUUCA